UGUGUAGCUCGUUGCUUUCUCUUUUUCUCUCCUUUUUUUUUUAUGUUUAGGCGAGGGUUUUUCCUCUGCUCCUAAUGGAGUUGUAGGGGUGUAGAGGAGCCAUUGAGGAGGCUUUUCUCCUCAUCCGGUCUAAAAAAAUUAGAUCUUCAUUUGUGUCAGGAUGAGGUUCUCCUCUUGUUCCCAACACAAUCAAUUUCAGCUCAUGUUAGGAUGAGAUUUUUCUCCUAUUCCUAAUA
rnacentral:lncRNA from 1 species